rnacentral:tRNA from 1 species
GCAUUCGUGAUUCAGUGGUAGAGUUCUCACCUUCUGUGCAAGAGAUCCAGGUUCAAUUCCUGGCCAAUGCA